ensembl:lncRNA
GCCUUCUUAAUUGUAAUUUGUCCAUGUCUUGUUUUUGAUACGGGUUCUUACCACGAAGCCCCAGCUGGCCCUGAGUUUGCAAUGUCCUUUCUGCCUCUGUCUUCUAUUGCUGCAUUUAAAAGUACAUGCCUAGCUUUUACUUCUUGUUUUGAGACAGAUCUUACCAAGUUGCCCACACUGGCCUGGCACUCAAUCUACAGCCUGGAGCUGGCCUUGAACUUGUGAUCUUUUUGCUCCAGAAUAUAGAGUCAUUGGAAUAACAGGCCUGACUAGAAUAACUGAAGACUCCCAUCCCUCACACACCCAGGGAUUCACUAUACAUAGUGACAGACCCUGCUGGCUUCAAACUGACAGAGAUUCUCCUGUCUCUGCCUCCCCAGUUCUGGGAUGAAAGGCAUGUGUUUUGGCCUGGAAUUCUUCAUUCUCCUGCCUUAGUUUCCCUGGUGCUGGGAUAAUGGGGGUGGGGGUGGGGGGAGCACCACCAUGCCUACCUUGAAGAUUUCUUGUACCAAUGUGAGGAAGAUGAGAAGCCUCAGAAGAAGGCCGGAAGAAAGAGUCCCCGGGGUUGAGCCGACCUCUCUCCCUGUAUUCCUUUCUCAGGUUUCACCUCCCUCCAUCUCCUUCCAGGAACCUGAGAGGAGACCAGCCACGUUGAAGGUCGAAGGCAGGACUUCCCUGGCCCAGGCUUUUGGGCGGCGCCCGCCUAGGAGGAGCCUGCCACCCACUGGGAGCGAGCGGUACUGCAGCCCCACCCCCACCCCCCAGGGAACUCAGGAGCACAGAGAACUUUGACAUCACUGGAGGACCAGAAGCCAGAGGGAGGGUAGGAAUUAAUCCGGAGAGGCUUCCUGUUGGAGGUGGGGAGCUGGGGACUGGCUGGGAAGAGCAGACAGAGGUGAGGUAUGGAGUAUCAAGAACCCUUCCAGAGCAGCCUGAGGGAAGUCAGGAGUGGACAAGCGUAAUGAUCUAGACGGGGAAGGAAAAAUGGCUGAGCAAGACAGGGUCUCACUGUGUAGCCCUGGUUGUCCCGGAAUUCGUUAAGUAGACCAGGCUAGCCUCAAACUCAGAGAGAUCUGCUUGCCUCUGUUACCAGUAAAGGUGCUCACUACCACACCCUGUUUACUUUAUUUAUUUAUUUAUUUAUUUAUUUAUUUAUUUAUUUAUUCUUUUGAGAGAAGAAGGGGGUCUUGCUAUAUGGUGUGGGUUGGCCUCGAACUCACACAAGUUUAAGCUCUUGCCAGACACUCUCCUGUGGUCCCUUGAGUUACCGCUGUAGUGUUUUUUGUUUUUGUUUUUGUUUUUGUUUUUCGAGACAGGGUUUCUCUGUAUAGCCCUGGCUGUCCUGGAGCUCACCUUGUAGACAGGCUGGCCUCGAACUCAGAAAUCCACCUGCCUCUGCCUCCCAAGUGCUGGGAUUAAAGGCAUGCUCCACUACAUCCGGCUUUGUAAUGUUUCUUUAAGGCGCUUUUAAAAUCACAUAUAUUUUUAUUUGUGGGCACACACAUGCACAUAUGUCCACAGCACACAUGUGGAGACGAGAGGACAAUUUUCAGGACUAGUUUCUCUCCCUUCCACGGAGUGAGUCCCAGUUAUCAAACUCAGCCAUCAUGAUUGGUAGAAAGCACCUUACCCUCCUCCCAAUACUUCCCCCCAACCAUUCCAGUUCUAACCAUUAGAAACAGUAUCUGUAUGUGUACAUGUCUGCUUCUGUGUGUGCAAUUAUGCCAGUGGGCAGGCAGAAGGGGGUGUCAAACCCCUUGGCUGUGCAGUUGCAGGUGCUUGUGGACACCAG